CGAUUGCACCACUGCGGCCCCCGCCGGCCUGGCACUGCCCCCAAGGCUCGCACACCCCCCAGCUUCGCAGUGCCAGCAGCUUUGAGGGAAGAACCCUGGGCCGGGUGCCACAGACCCAGAGAGCUCCGAGCCAUCCAGGAGACGCCCUGGAGGAGGGGGACCUGCGGUCCCCACUGUAGUUACCACAGCUUACCUUGGAGGCGGGGAGAGAGGAGGAAAGAAAGAGGGGAGACAAGCGUGGGGCCUGCUCCCUGCCUCCCUGCGCCACACCCCCGUAGCUGGGGCUUCCAGUGUGGAGAAAGAAAACAGAAUUUGGAGUCAGGAAAAAGCCCCAGACUAGGGGAUCCUUAGGCUCUAAAGGGCCGUAUCUUGGAUCCAGCCUCCGUCCUUCCCGUCCAGUCCACCUGCGCCCUCGAGCGCCCGCGUUCUCACCAGGCAGCCUGCCCGGCCCGGAAGCCGCGUCUAGGGAAGGCAGCAACGACGGGCCUGCUCAGAGAGCACGAUACACACAAAGUUUUGGGGUAGAUGAUAAGCUACAGAUACCCUCUUGGUUAAGUUAAUUCACCUUUGUUAAUAAAGGUCAUAGUGUCUUCUGCAGGUGACAACGUUUUGUCUCAGUGCAGUCUGUCUCGGAAAUGAACUGGUUCGGGUAAAUUCUGGAGGCAGAAAGAGACUUUCGUCGACACCCACCCCACAGCAGAAGAGGCAGCAUGCUCUUUCCCAGUUACGAGAAUCCCACAGCCGCAGAAAUCAUUCUCAGUGAUCAGCAUCUGCUCCCUCACUCUCCAGCCGCCGUCGGUGGACUGUCUGCCUCCAUCCCACCACAUACGUUCUCAUCGGAUCUUCCGUCCGGACUCCAGCCAUGGGACAUUGGCCACUCACGGACUGAGAAAGCAUUCCUUCUCAUCUCUCCUGUGGGGCUUGGCCUUCUGCUGUUAAAUGGGGAUCAGGACGCCAAGCCUGGCAGUCACACCUGCAGCGAACAUCGCCUCCAAUGCCCAUUGACCACUAGGCGCAAGUACGUUCAACGUCAUCAUCACGGUCGUCUUCUUCUUCGGCAAUAGAUUCUUUCGAUUCUUCUCCACAGCUGGCAUUCACCAUGACAUACACAUGCGCUCACAGGUAGGCAUUUAGGUCCCUGGCCCCCGCGUGCAAGCUGAUGGUGGGGUAUUCCAGUGGGAAUCUUCAUCCAGAGCCAUCUCAUGAAGACAGGUGGCUCUCGGCGACGUAAAGGGUGCCGGGGCCGAGGGCUUUGCCGCUCAGUACAGCCUCAGUCUCUGGCUACUGCCAUCGGAGCCCCUCUGCCCAGCCAGGCAGCGGGACGCUCGGAGGAAGCUCAUUGCAGCAGGGAGUGCGGGGACACAGGCCAUGACUCUACAUUAUGCUAUGUUCCCAGGUAGAGCGGCCAGCUGUCCCCGUACGAGGGUACCACAGUACCGUUGACUGUGUAUUCCCUCUGCUGUGUUGUUUUAUUUAUUAUUAAAAUUCUUCAAGGCUGAGACCUUUUAAAGAAAACUCUGAAAAGCAGUAUGUUGCUACGUUUCUU
rnacentral:lncRNA from 1 species